rnacentral:rRNA from 1 species
UACAGAGGUCUCAAGCGUUGUUCGGAUUCAUUGGGCGUAAAGCGCGCGUAGGCGGCCCGGUAAGUCCGUUGUGAAAGUCGAAGGCUCAACCUUCGAAAGCCGAUGGAUACUGCCGGGCUAGAGUACGGAAGAGGCGAGUGGAAUUCCUGGUGUAGCGGUGGAAUGCGCAGAUAUCAGGAGGAACACCGGUGGCGAAGGCGGGUCUCUGGGCCGAUACUGACGCUGAGGAGCGAAAGCGUGGGGAGCGAACAGG